GACAGAGGGUGCAAACGUUGUUCGGAAUUACUGGGCGUAAAGCGCGUGUAGGCGGCUACGUGUGUCGGGUGUGAAACCCCGGGGCUCAACCCCGGAACUGCAUCCGAUACUGCGUGGCUAGAGGUAGGUAGGGGAGAUCGGAAUUCCUGGUGUAGCGGUGAAAUGCGCAGAUAUCAGGAGGAACACCGGUGGCGAAGGCGGAUCUCUGGGCCUUACCUGACGCUCAGGCACGAAAGCUAGGGGAGCGAACAGG
rnacentral:rRNA from 1 species